CCCGCUGAUGGCAGGUCGUCACAAGCAGUCCUCCGAUGAUCCCCGCUUGCGGCCGGAUUACUGGCGAACGGGUGAUUAACACCUGAGUAACCUGCCCUUAACUCUGGGAUAAACCUUGUAAACGGGGUCUAAUACUGCAUAUUGACUUUUCCACUCCUGGUGUUUGGUUGAAAGAUUUAUUGGUUUUGGAUGGACUCGCCGCCUUUUUCUUGUUGGUGAGGCAAUGGCUCACCAAGGCCACUACAGCGACCCGUGCUGAGAGGGUGACCGCCCACACUGGGACUGAUGACGAUUUGAACUCCUACUCACCUUCCUCCUGGUUACCUUGCACAACGCCUAUGAGCCUGAUGCAUCGACGCCUGGUGAGGGAUGACGACCUUCGGGUUGGUUACCUCUUUCAACACGGAAUCACGCCACUGUUUAUGUCGAUGACGGUGCUUGACCAGUAAACCCCGCCUAACUACGUGCCACCGUCCCCGGUAAUUCCUAGUGCGCAAGCGUUAUCCGGAAUUAUUGUGCGUAAAGAGCUCGUAAGCGGUUUGUCGCGUCUGCUGUGAAAGUCCGGGGCUCAUCCUCUGAUCUGCGGUGCUUACGGCCAGACUACAGUGAUGUAGGGGAGACUGGAAUUCCUGGUGUAGCGAUGAAAUGCACAGAUAUCAGGACGAACACCCAUGGCGAUCGCAGGUCUCUGACCAUUAACUGACGCUGAGGAGCGAAAGCAUGCUGAGCGAACAGGAUUAGAUACACUGCCAGUCCAUGCCGUACACGUUGGGCACUACGUGUGGGGGACAUUCCACGUUUUCCGCGCCGUAGCUAUCGCAUCACUGCCCCGCCUGCGGAGUACCGCCGCACGCUAAAAAUCAAAGGAAUUAGACCGGGGACCUGCACAGCGGACGGAGCAUGCCGGAUUACUACGAUGCUUACGCGCAAGAACUUACCGAUGGCUUGUCAUGCACCCGGGAAUACUGGAACACGUGCCCCGCUUUGGGCGGCGGCUACAUGGGGGAUGCAUCGCUGUCGUCAGACUCGGGUGCGCGUAGAUGCGGCUGAAGUCCGCUACGAGCCACCUCGUUCUAUGUUAGCAGCCGUGAUGGUUGGGGACUCUAGGAACUGCCAGGUCAACUCGGAUGCACGUCGGGAGACGACCUGCGUAUGAUCAUGUCCUUAAGCUGGCUACGAUGCUCAAGGACGUCAUGCUGCUGGGUUGCGAUACUGUGAGGUGGAGCUAAUCCCAAAAAGCCGGUCUCAGUUCGGAUUGGGGUCUGCAACUCGACCCCAUGAAGUCGGAGUCGCUAGUAAUCGCAGAUCAGCAACGCUGCGGUGAAUACGUUCCCGGGCCUUGUACACACCGCUUGCUCAAGUCGUUGAAAGUUGGUAACACCCGAAGCCGGUGGCCUAACCCCCAUCUGGGUACGCGCGCUAGAGUGUCAGCGCCGGCCGGG
rnacentral:rRNA from 1 species